CGUGCCACAGCGCAUGUGUCAUACCGCAUCCAUAUUGCUUAUUCGCAAAUUGUUCGUGAAACAUGAUCGUCAGCCAGUGUGGACACUUCAGCAAAUAAGUUACAGCGAAUUCAUCUGCGAACAACGAACAGCGUGGUAAUAUGUCAUAUUAGAUUCACAUUGCUAUUCGCGAAUUAUUCUUAACAAUUCGUAAACUACGUUUCGAACACCGAAGGACACCAUUUUCGAGCAAUUUCGUCAAUUAUUUAUCGAUGAAUACACACCUUCAAAGAAUCUCGUUCGCAAGUUUAGAACGUAUUUGAAUGUCAACAUUAUUCGCUGACCAAUCGUUGAACGCUAUUGGCUGUUCGCAAGAAUAUCUACACUAACAUCGAACGUAAUUUACAAAUUUGUAAGCAGCGAUCAAACACAUACAUUCACGAACAACUCUCAAAAGCAAUGUAGACGUAGCAUCUGAACGUAUUACAUAGCAAUAUAGUCGAUUGCAUUAAAAUACACGAUUUCUACUUCGAUGGAAGAAAAUACGCGACCAUACAACACGCGGCGUAUAAAACACGUUCGUGUAUCCCUGGCCUAAAGGGUCGUCGCACACAGCGGGUUUCCGCGGUUUUUAAAGGGCAGCGCUUAUUACACAGAUUGGAUUAAAGGUCUGGAGUCUCAUGGACGGUGAGAGAGAGAAAGAGAGAAAAGCAGGAUAGGAGAAAGGGAGAGAAAGGGGAUAAAAUUGAACAAGAACGUUACGUCGAGAAGAACUUGUUAGAUGAAUGUUGAGAAUUGAAAGAGAAGAUGUGUGAUCCCGGUUGCAAGUUUAUGCUACACGAAACGCAUUCUAUCGAAUGGUCGGUAGAAAGAUGAUGAUCAGAUGAAUGGAAUUAGAGAUAAUUAUUACAGAUCGGAAGACUGUUUUGUCUCGGUGCGUACACAAUAAAGAGGGAACGAAACGCACAGGAGUGAAAUUGUUUUUUGCUAGUCAUGACUUCUAAUAAGGAACAAAAGCCGCCUUUUACAAGGCAUU